rnacentral:rRNA from 1 species
CCUACGGGAGGCAGCAGUGAGGAAUAUUGGUCAAUGGACGAGAGUCUGAACCAGCCAAGUAGCGUGCAGGAUGACUGCCCUAUGAGUUGUAAACUUCUUUUAUAUGGGAAUAAACUGUUCCACGUGUGGGUUUUUGUAUGUACCAUAUGAAUAAGGAUCGGCUAACUCCGUGCCAGCAGCCGCGGUAAUACGGAGGAUCCGAGCGUUAUCCGGAUUUAUUGGGUUUAAAGGGAGCGUAGGUGGAUUGUUAAGUCAGUUGUGAAAGUUUGCGGCUCAACCGUAAAAUUGCAGUUGAAACUGGCAGUCUUGAGUACAGUAGAGGUGGGCGGAAUGCGUGGUGUAGCGGUGAAAUGCUUAGAUAUCACGAAGAACUCCGAUUGCGAAGGCAGCUCACUGGACUGCAACUGACACUGAGGCUCGAAAGUGUGGGUAUCAAACAGGAUUAGAUACCCCUGUAGUC